rnacentral:sRNA from 1 species
UGAGCACCGGGGGACCUCCUUCAGUGCCGCGAGUCUAUAUCUAUUUAGUU